CCUANGGGGGGCAGCAGUCGAGAAUUUUUCUCAAUGGGGGAAACCCUGAAGGAGCGACGCCGCGUGGAGGAUGAAGGUCUUCGGGUUGUAAACUCCUGUCAUUUGGGAACAAGUGUCGGUACCUAACUGCUACCGGCUUGAUAGUACCAGAAGAGGAAGAGACGGCUAACUCUGUGCCAGCAGCCGCGGUAAUACAGAGGUCUCAAGCGUUGUUCGGAAUCAUUGGGCGUAAAGAGCGUGUAGGCGGCUUGCUAAGUCUUGCGUGAAAUCUCGGGGCUCAACCCCGAGCGGUCGUGGGAAACUGGCAGGCUAGAGUGCGGGAGAGGAGAAUGGAAUUCCUGGUGUAGCGGUGAAAUGCGCAGAUAUCAGGAAGAACACCCGUGGCGAAGGCGGUUCUCUGGAACGCAACUGACGCUGAGACGCGAAAGCGUGGGGAGCAAACAGGAUUAGAUACCCUANUANUC
rnacentral:rRNA from 1 species